AACGAACGCUGGCGGCAUGCCUAACACAUGCAAGUCGAACGAGACCUUCGGGUCUAGUGGCGCACGGGUGCGUAACGCGGGGGAACCUGCACUUAGGUUCGGAAUAACUCCCCGAAAGGGAUGCUAAUACCGGUUAAGGUCUUCGGACCAAAGAUCUAUCGCCUUUGGAUGGGCCCGGGUUGGUUUAGCUGGUUGGUAGGGUAAAAGCCUACCAAGGCGUCGAUCCAUAGCUGGUCGGAGAGGAUGACCAGCCACACUGGGACUGAGACACGGACCAGACUCCUACGGGAGGGAGCAGUGGGGAAUAUUGGACAAGGGGCGAAAGCCUAAUCCAGCAGUGCCGCGUGAGUGAUGAAGGCCUUAGGGUUGUAAAGCUCUUUUACCCGGGAUGAUAAUGACAGUACCGGGUGAAUAAGCUCCGGCUAACUCCGUG
rnacentral:rRNA from 1 species